GGACUCUGAACCACAAGAGUCUUGGAGGAAAAGAGAUGGAGUCCACUAAAAAGACAGCCUCAUAGGUGCGUGAUUAUGAACUGGGGAAUAUAAAAACAGGCCAGGGCAUGGGAGGGGAGGAUAUCCCCUCUGUGGAGAGACAAAGGAAAGAGAAAGCAGCUGGAGAAUCGUAGAACUGUACCUCAGGACGGAGAGGGAUCCUAUCAUCCCAUAACGAACUACAGACCUUUUGGAGAGAGAACCCAUCUCUAACUGAGGAGCUUUCUUUGGGCUGGAUGCCCUAGUUCCAGAAAUCCCCCCCUAGAAGAGACACUACUCAAGGAAUUCAGUCAGCAUCAGGAGGAACUGGUCCCUGGCUCGGACCCCUGCUUGUGGGAUUACAUUUGGGCGGUAUCAUUAAUGCCCAGGGAGUAAGAGCUUGAAAUGCAGCUGGGUGUGGGACAGAGAACAUCGCCCACCUUGGCUGUGCCCACGGCACAGUGAGAUCGUACCCAAAGGAGUGUUUUGGACCUAGUUCAAGAAGGGACUGGGAGGUCACCAUUUCUCACCCCAAAAACCACCAAGGCAGGACCUCAGCAACCCAGGGACCCACAGUUGAGGGCUACCUCAAGAAACAAACCAAAGUACACAUGGUGGAGAGUCCCAAAUAUUACAAGUUGGGAAAUAAAAUAACCACCAUGUGGUUUUACCUUGAUUA